rnacentral:rRNA from 1 species
ACGGWGCAGCAGUAGGAAUCUCGCAAUGACGCAAGUCUGACCGAGCAACGCCGCGUGAGUGAAGAAGGUUUUCGGAUCGUAAAACUCUGUUGUGAGAGAAGAACGGAUAUGAGAGUGGAAAGUUCAUAUCGUGACGGUAUCUCACCAGAAAGGGACGGCUAACUACGUGCCAGCAGCCGCGGUAAUACGUAGGUCCCGAGCGUUGUCCGGAUUUAUUGGCGUAAAGCGAGCGCAGGUGGUUUCUUAAGUGGGGUGUAAAAGGCAGUGGCUCAACCAUUGUGUGCAUUCCAAACUGGGAGACUUGAGUGCAGGAGAGGAGAGUGGAAUUCCAUGUGUAGCGGUGAAAUGCGUAGAUAUAUGGAGGAACACCGGAGGCGAAAGCGGCUCUCUGGCCUGUAACUGACACUGAGGCUCGAAAGCGUGGGGAGCAAACAGGAUUAGAUACCCUGGUAGUCCACGCCGUAAACGAUGAGUGCUAGCCGUGGGGAGCUAUAAGUUUUCCGUGGCGNCACGUAACGCAAUAAGCACUCCGCCU